rnacentral:rRNA from 1 species
GACGAACGCUGGCGGCGUGCUUAACACAUGCAAGUCGAACGGACGGAUUGGAGCUUGCUCCAUGAAGUUAGUGGCGGACGGGUGAGUAACGCGUGGGUAACCUGCCCUAUGCAGGGGGAUAACGUUUGGAAACGAACGCUAAUACCGCAUAAUCUAGUUGGUUCGCAUGAACUGAUUAGCAAAGAUUUUAUCGGCAUAGGAUGGACCCGCGUUAGAUUAGCUAGUUGGUGAGAUAACAGCCCACCAAGGCGACGAUCUAUAGCCGGCCUGAGAGGGUGAACGGCCACACUGGGACUGAGACACGGCCCAGACUCCUACGGGAGGCAGCAGUGGGGAAUAUUGCACAAUGGGCGCAAGCCUGAUGCAGCGACGCCGCGUGAAGGAUGAAGGUCUUCGGAUCGUAAACUUCUAUCAGCAGGGAAGAAUACCAUGACGGUACCUGACUAAGAAGCCCCGGCUAACUACGUGCCAGCCGCCGCCGUAAAAC